AGCACUUUUUCAUAUACAUGUUGACCAUUUGUAUGUCUUUUUUUUGAGAAAAGUCUAUUCAGGUCCUUUGCCUAGCUUUUAAUUGGGUUCUUGGUUUUCUUGCUAUUGACUUGUAUAUUUUGGAUAUUAAACCCUUAUCAGAAUGUGUGGCUUGCAAAUAUUUUUUCCAGGUUGUCUUUUGGCAAUAACUAAAGAGAGAAAGAUAACAAACAUAGGAAAGAUAUCUCUACUCCCAUAUACAUCCUCCAGUAUAGGCACACGUAAGAAAGCCUAGGGCUGAGGGCACUCACAGGGAAACACCUCCAAAUGAUGAGGACCUUGUGAGCUUCCUAAGCCAGGUGACCACAAAGACGCGUGGACAAUCCACUGACCCAGCAAGCAGGGAGUGUCACUUGUCCUGUGAAGAACACCAGAAUACAGUUGGCCUUUCUAAUCUGCAUGCAGGUCCCAUAUCCAUAUUCAAGCAACCAUGGAUCAAAAAUAUUGGGGGGAAAAAAAACUAAUGAUAAAUUAACAAGGGGCCAGGCGCAGUCAUCUAUAAUCCCAGCACUUUAGGAGGCCAAGGUGGGAGGAUAGGUUGAGCCCAUAAGUUUAAGAUCAGCCUGGCAAAUGUGGAGAUUCCAACUCUACAAAAAAUAAAAAAAAUUAGCUAGGCAUAGGGGUGCACUCUUAUGCUCCCAGCUACUCUAAAGGCUGAGGCAGGAGGAUUGUUUGAACCAAGGAAGUUGAGGCUGCAGUGAGCCAUGUAUUUGCCACUGUACUCCAGCUUUGGCAAUAAUGUACCACCCUGUCUCAAACAACAACAACAAAAAACCAUUACAGGCUGGGCAUGGUGGCUCAUGCCUGUAAUCCCAGAACUCUGGGAGGUCAAGGCAGGAGGAUCACUUGAGCCCAGGAGUUUGAGGUUACACUGAGCUAGGAUCAUACCACUGCACUUCAGCCUGGGUGACAGA
rnacentral:lncRNA from 10 species